ensembl:snRNA U6 U6 spliceosomal RNA
GUGCUCAAGUUGGCAGCAGCACAUACACAAAAAUUGGAAUGAUAGAGGUUAGCGUGGCCCCUUUGCAAGGGUGUCACAAAUUUUUGAAACGUUCCAUGUUUUC